GGGGCCGGGUGCGAUGGCGGCGGUGGCUGCACGGCAGCUGGGGCUGCGGGCGGCGGGGCUGGGACGGGCCCCUGCCAGCGCCGCUUGGAAGAGUGUCCUCCGGUUCUCCCCGCGCCCAGAUGUGGCAGUUCUGCAGCAGAAGCAUCUGCCACAAAAGCGGAAGAUGACUCCUUUAUUCAGUGGGUCCUGCUCUUCAUCCCUGUGACUGCCUUUGGCUUGGGGACAUGGCAGGUCCAACGUCGGAAGUGGAAGCUGAACCUGAUUGCAGAGUGGGAGUCUAGAGUUCUGGCUGAGCCUGUCCCUCUACCAGUAGACCCAAUGGAACUGAAAAAUAUGGAGUAUAGGCCAGUGAAAGUCAAGGGGUGCUUUGACCACUCCAAGGAGCUGUAUAUGAUGCCCCGGACCAUGGUGGACCCUGCCCGGGAGGCCUGGGAGGCUGGCCACAUCUCCUCCUCAACUCAGAGUGGGGCCUAUGUGGUCACUCCCUUCCACUGCACCGACCUGGGAGAGCACAGUCCCUGGAGGACCCAUUGGAGGGCAAACCAGAGUUACUCUGAGGAACGAGCAUCUGCAGUACAUUGUCACCUGGUGUGGACUCUCUGCAGCUACAUCAUACCUGUGGUUUAAGAAAUUCCUACGGGGGACACCUGGUGUGUAACAGAUCAGCUGCUAAAGCCCUGUCCCUGAAUAAUGAAGUAAAAAGACUGCCUUUAUGCUGGAUCAUGUGGUAUAAAGUUCUGGCCUUCUACCUUAAAAAAAA